rnacentral:tRNA from 1 species
CGGAGUGUGGCGCAGCCUGGUAGCGCACCUCGUUNNNUUCGGGACGAGGGGGUCGGAGGUUCAAAUCCUCUCACUCCGACCA